GGUUAAGCGACUAAGCGUACACGGUGGAUGCCCUGGCAGUCAGAGGCGAUGAAGGACGUGCUAAUCUGCGAUAAGCGUCGGUAAGGUGAUAUGAACCGUUAUAACCGGCGAUUUCCGAAUGGGGAAACCCAGUGUGUUUCGACACACUAUCAUUAACUGAAUCCAUAGGUUAAUGAGGCGAACCGGGGGAACUGAAACAUCUAAGUACCCCGAGGAAAAGAAAUCAACCGAGAUUCCCCCAGUAGCGGCGAGCGAACGGGGAGGAGCCCAGAGCCUGAAUCAGUGUGUGUGUUAGUGGAAGCGUCUGGAAAGGCGCGCGAUACAGGGUGACAGCCCCGUACACAAAAAUGCACAUACUGUGAGCUCGAUGAGUAGGGCGGGACACGUGGUAUCCUGUCUGAAUAUGGGGGGACCAUCCUCCAAGGCUAAAUACUCCUGACUGACCGAUAGUGAACCAGUACCGUGAGGGAAAGGCGAAAAGAACCCCGGCGAGGGGAGUGAAAAAGAACCUGAAACCGUGUACGUACAAGCAGUGGGAGCCUCUUUUAUGGGGUGACUGCGUACCUUUUGUAUAAUGGGUCAGCGACUUAUAUUCUGUAGCAAGGUUAACCGAAUAGGGGAGCCGAAGGGAAACCGAGUCUUAACUGGGCGUUAAGUUGCAGGGUAUAGACCCGAAACCCGGUGAUCUAGCCAUGGGCAGGUUGAAGGUUGGGUAACACUAACUGGAGGACCGAACCGACUAAUGUUGAAAAAUUAGCGGAUGACUUGUGGCUGGGGGUGAAAGGCCAAUCAAACCGGGAGAUAGCUGGUUCUCCCCGAAAGCUAUUUAGGUAGCGCCUCGUGAAUUCAUCUCCGGGGGUAGAGCACUGUUUCGGCAAGGGGGUCAUCCCGACUUACCAACCCGAUGCAAACUGCGAAUACCGGAGAAUGUUAUCACGGGAGACACACGGCGGGUGCUAACGUCCGUCGUGAAGAGGGAAACAACCCAGACCGCCAGCUAAGGUCCCAAAGUCAUGGUUAAGUGGGAAACGAUGUGGGAAGGCCCAGACAGCCAGGAUGUUGGCUUAGAAGCAGCCAUCAUUUAAAGAAAGCGUAAUAGCUCACUGGUCGAGUCGGCCUGCGCGGAAGAUGUAACGGGGCUAAACCAUGCACCGAAGCUGCGGCAGCGACACUGUGUGUUGUUGGGUAGGGGAGCGUUCUGUAAGCCUGUGAAGGUGUGCUGUGAGGCAUGCUGGAGGUAUCAGAAGUGCGAAUGCUGACAUAAGUAACGAUAAAGCGGGUGAAAAGCCCGCUCGCCGGAAGACCAAGGGUUCCUGUCCAACGUUAAUCGGGGCAGGGUGAGUCGACCCCUAAGGCGAGGCCGAAAGGCGUAGUCGAUGGGAAACAGGUUAAUAUUCCUGUACUUGGUGUUACUGCGAAGGGGGGACGGAGAAGGCUAUGUUGGCCGGGCGACGGUUGUCCCGGUUUAAGCGUGUAGGCUGGUUUUCCAGGCAAAUCCGGAAAAUCAAGGUUGAGGCGUGAUGACGAGGCACUACGGUGCUGAAGCAACAAAUGCCCUGCUUCCAGGAAAAGCCUCUAAGCAUCAGGUAACAUCAAAUCGUACCCCAAACCGACACAGGUGGUCAGGUAGAGAAUACCAAGGCGCUUGAGAGAACUCGGGUGAAGGAACUAGGCAAAAUGGUGCCGUAACUUCGGGAGAAGGCACGCUGAUAUGUAGGUGAAGUCCCUCGCGGAUGGAGCUGAAAUCAGUCGAAGAUACCAGCUGGCUGCAACUGUUUAUUAAAAACACAGCACUGUGCAAACACGAAAGUGGACGUAUACGGUGUGACGCCUGCCCGGUGCCGGAAGGUUAAUUGAUGGGGUCAGCGCAAGCGAAGCUCUUGAUCGAAGCCCCGGUAAACGGCGGCCGUAACUAUAACGGUCCUAAGGUAGCGAAAUUCCUUGUCGGGUAAGUUCCGACCUGCACGAAUGGCGUAAUGAUGGCCAGGCUGUCUCCACCCGAGACUCAGUGAAAUUGAACUCGCUGUGAAGAUGCAGUGUACCCGCGGCAAGACGGAAAGACCCCGUGAACCUUUACUAUAGCUUGACACUGAACAUUGAGCCUUGAUGUGUAGGAUAGGUGGGAGGCUUUGAAGUGUGGACGCCAGUCUGCAUGGAGCCGACCUUGAAAUACCACCCUUUAAUGUUUGAUGUUCUAACGUGGACCCGUGAUCCGGGUUGCGGACAGUGUCUGGUGGGUAGUUUGACUGGGGCGGUCUCCUCCUAAAGAGUAACGGAGGAGCACGAAGGUUGGCUAAUCCUGGUCGGACAUCAGGAGGUUAGUGCAAUGGCAUAAGCCAGCUUGACUGCGAGCGUGACGGCGCGAGCAGGUGCGAAAGCAGGUCAUAGUGAUCCGGUGGUUCUGAAUGGAAGGGCCAUCGCUCAACGGAUAAAAGGUACUCCGGGGAUAACAGGCUGAUACCGCCCAAGAGUUCAUAUCGACGGCGGUGUUUGGCACCUCGAUGUCGGCUCAUCACAUCCUGGGGCUGAAGUAGGUCCCAAGGGUAUGGCUGUUCGCCAUUUAAAGUGGUACGCGAGCUGGGUUUAGAACGUCGUGAGACAGUUCGGUCCCUAUCUGCCGUGGGCGCUGGAGAACUGAGGGGGGCUGCUCCUAGUACGAGAGGACCGGAGUGGACGCAUCACUGGUGUUCGGGUUGUCAUGCCAAUGGCACUGCCCGGUAGCUAAAUGCGGAAGAGAUAAGUGCUGAAAGCAUCUAAGCACGAAACUUGCCCCGAGAUGAGUUCUCCCUGACCCUUUAAGGGUCCUGAAGGAACGUUGAAGACGACGACGUUGAUAGGCCGGGUGUGUAAGCGCAGCGAUGCGUUGAGCUAACCGGUACUAAUGAACCGUGAGGCUUAACCUU
rnacentral:rRNA from 1 species